rnacentral:piRNA from 1 species
UACAGUGAUUGUAAGAUGCCAUCAACUC